AGGAUCUGAUAUGUCUGGAGACUGGUGUGUGCAGUGAGGAUGGAGAAGUCAACAGCAGCAUCCUGGAAAUGGUCCAGCGACACGGAUGAGACGCUCCAUCUCUCCACCUCUUACUGCCUCAUCAGGACUGGAUGCUGCUGUGGUCUCUUCAUUCUCAGUGACCCCAGAGCCAGCGAGAACAUCUAGAGAAAGACCAAAAGACACUGAGGAUGUGAUUUUGGGGCCUACAAUCCCCCGAUCAACCUGGAGAAUAGAGCCUUGCUCGAGGAGACACUGGUGGUUUUGAACCAGCAGCCUUCUGCUCACCAGUUCAGUGGUUUAGCCCACUACAAAAGUAGUCAUGCUCAUGGAGAGCAGGCACACGAAUGCUUGGAGCAGACACAGCAGCAGCCAGAUUGUCCCGCACGUGUUCCCUGCUCUUGAUUCAAGGUUGUGUGCUUCAGAGAGCCGUCGUCAUAGUCUUCCUCAUCCUCUUGCUCAACGAUGUCCCCAUUG
ensembl:lncRNA